rnacentral:rRNA from 1 species
AGAAGCUUGCUUCUCUUGAGAGCGGCGGACGGGUGAGUAAAGCCUAGGAAUCUGCCUGGUAGUGGGGGAUAACGUUCGGAAACGGACGCUAAUACCGCAUACGUCCUACGGGAGAAAGCAGGGGACCUUCGGGCCUUGCGCUAUCAGAUGAGCCUAGGUCGGAUUAGCUAGUUGGUGAGGUAAUGGCUCACCAAGGCGACGAUCCGUAACUGGUCUGAGAGGAUGAUCAGUCACACUGGAACUGAGACACGGUCCAGACUCCUACGGGAGGCAGCAGUGGGGAAUAUUGGACAAUGGGCGAAAGCCUGAUCCAGCCAUGCCGCGUGUGUGAAGAAGGUCUUCGGAUUGUAAAGCACU